CCAGGAUGUAUUACAGUAUAUGGGUGCCCCCUAGCGUAUGAAGUUCUCGCUUCAAAUAAGAUUCAAUUUAGAGGAGCCAUCCGACACGGAAACUGCUUCAGUCUCGUCUCCCGCAUCGACCAAACUAACGAGCACCAUUUUAAACUGAUGACUGUUUGUUUAAAUUCUGUUUUACAUGACUUGGACGGCAAAGCUUUGAGAGUUGCCAAAGUUGGAUUUACUUUUUUGCCACUUCAGACAGUCCCCAGCGGUGAUCCGGUGAACAUGGAGAGUCUGUAAAUAAAAAUACACCGCAAGGUAUCCACUUACCGAGGAUCCAGCUUUGCUUCAAAUGGAACUACUGCUGAAGUACCCUUCGGCAAAGCAGCUUAAACCCCAUCUGUCCCAGUGGAGCUGCACAACGACCAGCAGUACAAGACUGCGGUUGUACUGGGCACUUGUGAGAUGUGUCUCUUUGAGUGUGACCUACCCUCCCUUUUCUUCUUAAGAGGGAGAGUGGGCAGUCCACUCGCCUCACAGUUUUGUUUUUUUAUCAUGUACUCAGACAGUGAAAAAGUUUGGGAGAAGACACAAGAGAGAAAGCUGUGGCAGCAUUCAGUCCUGAGCCCAGACAUGGUUCACAUGUGGCCCCAAAGGCAGCAGACGGUGUAUUGAAUUACUGUAACACAAGGUGUAAUGUGGUAGCAGUGUGGGAUAUGUAUAUAUUACACAAACGGAUGUAGAAGCGGCUUACUUCAGCUUUCUAUUACAGCUAUUUAAUGUUGGAUUGUAUGGUUUAUUUUCUCAAAUUUCAGCUAUAACUAUUUAUUAGUUAAAAUGACAGCCAUGUUUUCUACAGUGAUCAUUAAUGUCUCAUUAUCAUUGAAUUAACCAGUUAUAUCAAACUGAUACUGUGAAAACCUUGUAUCCAUAGGUUUUGUUAUUUCCAUGUACGUCAAAGAAUUACAUGGAUUGUAUUACGAGGAGAAAACACUUACAGCUAUAGCCGCGUUUCUUACUUCUUGAAGAUUUUGAAUUUUCCUGUGACAAUGUACAAUUAUGGGAUGACCAAUAAAGUAUUACUGUUUCAAGUGUUAGUAGUUAAAUAAGUAGUGCUGUGUAUAAUUGAAAAUUGCAGUCUUACACCUGCCACAUCUAUGACUAAUAAAGUUUUAAGAUCUCA